AUUCAGCUGAUGAGUCCCGAAUAGGACGAAACGUGCGUCCCUGAU
rnacentral:hammerhead_ribozyme from 1 species